CUCAGAGCGAACGUUGGCGGCGCGCUUACACAUGCAAGUCGAACGCGAAAAGUCCUUCGGGGCUGAGUAGAGUGGCGCACGGGUGAGUAACACGUGAGUAACCUGCCCUCGAGCCCGGGAUAACUCGUCGAAAGGUGAGCUAAUACCGGAUGAGACCACAGCCUCUGCGGGGGCUGUGAGAAAAGCUGGGGACCGAAAGGCCUGGCACUCGAGGAUGGGCUCGCGGCCUAUCAGCUUGUUGGUGGGGUGAUGGCCCACCAAGGCUACGACGGGUAGCUGGUCUGAGAGGAUGAUCAGCCACACUGGAACUGAGACACGGUCCAGACUCCUACGGGAGGCAGCAGUGGGGAAUUUUGCGCAAUGGGCGAAAGCCUGACGCAGCGACGCCGCGUGUGCGAUGAAGGCCUUUGGGUCGUAAAGCACUGUCAAGCGGGAAGAAAACCUGCCGGUUAAUACCCGGUAGGCUUGACGGUACCGCUGGAGGAAGCACCGGCUAACUCUGUGCCAGCAGCCGCGGUAAUACAGAGGGUGCGAACGUUGCUCGGAAUUACUGGGCGUAAAGAGCGUGUAGGCGGUCUGUUAAGUCGGCUGUGAAAGCCCAUGGCUCAACCAUGGAAGUGCAGUCGAUACUGGCGGGCUAGAGUCCCGGAGAGGGUGGUGGAAUUCCCAGUGUAGGGGUGAAAUUCGUAGAUNUUGGGAGGAACACCGGUGGCGAAGGCGACCACCUGGACGGGUACUGACGCUGAGACGCGAAAGCGUGGGUAGCAAACAGGAUUAGAUACCCUGGUAGUCCACGCUGUAAACGAUGAUCACUAGGUGUUGCGGGUAUUGACCCCUGCAGUGCCGAAGCUAACGCAUUAAGUGAUCCGCCUGGGGACUA
rnacentral:rRNA from 1 species